rnacentral:rRNA from 1 species
UACGGGGGGAGCAAGCGUUGUUCGGAUUUACUGGGCGUAAAGGGCGCGUAGGCGGCGCAACAAGUCACUUGUGAAAUCUCCGGGCUUAACCCGGAGCGGCCAAGUGAUACUGUCGUGCUAGAGUGCGGAAGGGGCUACUGGAAUUCUCGGUGUAGCAGUGAAAUGCGUAGAUAUCGAGAGGAACACCUGCGGCGAAGGCGGGUAGCUGGGCCGACACUGACGCUGAGGCGCGAAAGCCAGGGGAGCGAACGGG